UCCUACGGGGCGCAGCAGUGAGGAAUAUUGGUCAAUGGGCGAGAGCCUGAACCAGCCAAGUCGCGUGAAGGAAGAAUGUCCUAUGGAUUGUAAACUUCUUUUGUAAGGGAAUAAAAAACGGCACGUGUGCUGUAUUGUAUGUACUUUACGAAUAAGGAUCGGCUAACUCCGUGCCAGCAGCCGCGGUAAUACGGAGGAUCCGAGCGUUAUCCGGAUUUAUUGGGUUUAAAGGGUGCGUAGGCGGACCCAUAAGUCAGUGGUGAAAGUUUGCAGCUCAACUGUAAAAUUGCCAUUGAAACUGUGGGUCUUGAGUGUAAAUGAGGUAGGCGGAAUGUGUUGUGUAGCGGUGAAAUGCUUAGAUAUAACACAGAACACCAAUUGCGAAGGCAGCUUACUGGGAUACAACUGACGCUGAGGCACGAAAGCGUGGGGAUCAAACAGGAUUAGAUACCCCGGUAGUCC
rnacentral:rRNA from 1 species